AUGACUCUGCAUGCCAAAUGCUAUGCUGGGCCUGCUGGAAUGCAGCCUCUUACUCAUCACAAUCACCCUAAAAGGAGGGGAGAUUGUAAGAGGUGUAGAGAACCCAAAGGUGGUCCAGCCAGGAAGCAAGACUGCGAGAUCCAUAGGUUCCAUUUCCAUGUAAUUGGUUUUCCUGAGCUGCAGAGUCCUGCAAGGCUGAACUCAUCCCACCCCUGUGAUGUGAGGUACCGGGUAUCCACAUUGUCUAUCAUGAUCUCUUUCAGCCAUGGUACAAAGCAUCUUGAGUCCUUAAGAGGAGAAUAAUGUCUUCUCUGUGGCAGACAUUGUUCCAGGCCUUCCUUUCAGCCUCAUGAUAACAUUACGGGUUAGAUAAGCAGGCAUGAUGUCACACACCUAUAAUCUCAGCACUUAGGAGUUAGAAGGAUCGGGAGUUCCGGGUCAGCCUCAUCAAUG
rnacentral:lncRNA from 1 species